rnacentral:rRNA from 1 species
GUGUUCGUCGCCGAGGCAGGGAGGGAGAGGCCGGAGACGAGAAAGAAGGAGGAGGAGCAACGGCGUCGGCGUCGGCGUCGGCGGAGGCGGGGCGGAAGCGGCACGCGACGCCGGCCGCCUACCCUGGGCGUCCGGCCGACAGGCACCGCCGGCGAGAGGAGAGUACGGAUACAAAUGUACCCGACAACCCCUUAAGGCCCGUCCGUAAACGAGUCCCGGGCGGCCACGAGGUGGCCUAGCUGGUGCGCCUCCUUCUACUGCUGUCGCCGCCGGAGUACGGCCUCGAGAGCGGCUGGCCGAGGGGGGUCGGGAAGCAGGGGAAGGAGCGCGGACGGGGAGAGCGCGGGAAGAUGUUGUUGAGAUGCGGGUUCAACAGUCCNUUUACGAGUGACUUGAAGUGACGGUAGUUACCGGACUACUGGUGGUGCCGGCAGCUGACGAAGCGGAGUAAGCGAGGCAAGGAGCGGUUACAGUAGACGACAGGGGUCGAGGUCCGGUGAGAGUGGUAGGAGUAUCCCGUCAGGUCGUUCGUCUGCCCCAGGGAACGAAACCUAGGGUGAGAACGGUUGAUGACAGAGAGACUGCAGGUCGUCGACGAGUACUCGGUCCCACGGUCACUACUAGAGGUGUCGUAAACGAGGCAGGUGGAGAGGUUACGGUGGCUCCCCAGCACGGGGCAAUCGUGGCAGCUGCGCAAACUCUCGCAGCAGCUGAGCAGCUUCGAGGAGCUCCGGACGGCCUUCCAGCUGGGACAAUUGCUCACGACGUCGGUCUGUACGGUCUCGCGAUAUUCACUACGACGGGCGUUUUAGAGAAGGUUCCUGCGACGCAACUGUUCGCUGUGACGGUCAGGGUUUCAAUUGUCAACGUCCUUGCAACAUGAAUCUACCAAUAGGUCGUCCGAACUCGGUAGUAGGCGUUGGUUUUACGAGUCCGUCUAUAGUUUGACAUUACAGUUACCUCAAACGGGUGAUUCGAAGGGUCUGUGUUCAUUCCAACGUUUCCUCACACCACCAUGUCAAUUUUUGUAAUGACAUACGACGUUCCGCUACCUGUCAAUGCAUAGAGUGAACGUUUUCGUUUCAAAGUAUUGUUUAAACGUUCGAAACUUAACACGCAGUCAGGAACCCCGUUUUAACGUUCUCUACUUCCAGUCGUGUUUACAAAUAUCGAGUACGGUUCAUUGUAACUUCCUAAAGAGUGAAGUUCAACCUAGAGUUCUUAGACCUACGGAAGAAGGUUCAUACGGGAGACUACGUAGUAAACUGGGAAGAAGACCCUAAUCAAAGUGUACACUAGACUUACUAUUGUAUCGACGGGGUACCAGCGGAAGAAACGUUCGUAGCCGAAGUUGUACGUUAUUUAGUCGACGAGGACCAGGUUGUUAGGGUCUCUCCGGACGCCGCUGUAGCCGCGUCUUGCCACAGUUGGUGUUGUCUGACCUCGAAUCGGAUCGGCAGACGAAACCGCGGGAACACCGGUGAUAAAAUGAAGUUCAGAUCAAGUGGAUCAAACAGUUUAAUAGGUCUCCAACUCCUCUCGACUAACCUUGACACUUGGCGUCUCAAAAACACGCACGAACCAGUAGCGUAGUCUCGUAACAUUGACCAUCGAUAAUCACAUUAAACAACAUUCGGUGUCUUACUGUCACUUACGUUGUGACUGAGAUUAAAUAAUGAUAAUACGGAAAACAUAUCGCUCAUCACUUCCAAGGUAUUAAGACGUACUGUUGAACCUAUCUGAACUAAAACAACAGAUUACCAAACAGUGAAAUAAUUACUAAAAAUAGUAACCAAGUGG